rnacentral:rRNA from 1 species
CAGUCGCCACGGGAAUACGUAGGGUGCGAGCGUUAAUCGGAAUUACUGGGCGUAAAGCGUGCGCAGGCGGUUAUAUAAGACAGAUGUGAAAUCCCCGGGCCCAACCUGGGACCUGCAUUUGUGACUGUAUAGCUAGAGUACGGUAGAGGGGGAUGGAAUUCCGCGUGUAGCAGUGAAAUGCGUAGAUAUGCGGAGGAACACCGAUGGCGAAGGCAAUCCCCUGGACCUGUACUGACGCUCAUGCACGAAAGCGUGGGGAGCAAACAGGAUUAGAUACCCCCGUAGUCCCUGUCUCUUAUAC